UACAGAGGUCUCAAGCGUUGUUCGGAUUUAUUGGGCGUAAAGCGCGUGUAGGCGGCCAGGUAGGUCCGCUGUGAAAACCCGAGGCUCAACCUCGGGACGUCGGCGGAAACCAUCUGGCUAGAGUCCGGAAGAGGAGAGUGGAAUUCCCGGUGUAGCGGUGAAAUGCGCAGAUAUCGGGAAGAACACCCGUGGCGAAGGCGGCUCUCUGGGACGGUACUGACGCUGAGACGCGAAAGCGUGGGGAGCGAACAGG
rnacentral:rRNA from 1 species